GACGAACGCUGGCGGCGUGCUUAACACAUGCAAGUCGAGGGCAGGCCGCAAGGCCUGACCGGCGAACGGGUGCGUAACACGUGAGCGACCUUCCGUCUUCUGGGGGAUAGCCGGCCCAAC
rnacentral:rRNA from 1 species